rnacentral:rRNA from 1 species
AUACGUAGGGGGCGAGCGUUGUCCGGAAUGAUUGGGCGUAAAGGGCGCGUAGGCGGCGCGGUAAGUCUGGAGUGAAAGUCCUGCUUUCAAGGUGGGAAUUGCUUUGGAUACUGCCGCGCUUGAGUGCAGGAGAGGUUAUCGGAAUUCCCGGUGUAGCGGUGAAAUGCGGAGAGAUCGGGAGGAACACCAGUGGCGAAGGCGGGUAACUGGACUGCAACUGACGCUGAGGCGCGAAAGUGUGGGGAGCAAACAGGAUUAGAUACCCUGGUAGUCCACACUGUAAACGAUGAAUGCUAGGUGUAAGAGGUAUCGACCCCUUUUGUGCCGGAGUCAACACAAUAAGCAUUCCGCCUGGGGAGUACGGCCGCAAGGUUGAAACUCAAAUGAAUUGACGGGG